CCGAAAUACCGAUCACCCGACGAGCGCAUUGGGCGACGACGAAGUCGAUGUGAUUGGAUACACGAGCAACCAAUCGGACUCCGAUGAUCACAGCAGCGUGCAAAGCAGCAGCGACAGCGGCGUUGCCAUGUCCACCUCCAGGCUGACCCUCUCCGAGAUGAUGGACAAUCUUUAGACAAAAAGAUGGCGCGGCGGAGGUGGCGGCGGCAAGAAGAGGAGACGGGGGGAGAUGAAAAAGAGCACCUUGAUGGUCAAGCGCUGAAGAUUGGGGAAGAGGACGCGGGACAGCAACAACGACGACAACUGGAAGAUCGGCAUCGAGUGACAGAACUUUUACGAAAAGAAAAACAAACAAACAAAUACAAAACAAAGAUCUCGUGGGUUAUCCACAAAAGGACAAACAAGUAGCACGCGUGAAGCUUGGUGGGCACAGCGAAUAGGAACUACCUACAAAACCACGAGGCACGGGUUUAUCGGCAACAUCCGUACUUGCCGACGAAUCGCGGGUAAUGACGUCCAAAGUGAAUUUGUACGCAUAUGAAUAUUCUGUUGGAGGAGUGAGGAGGAAUAUUUUUCACCGGCCACCCAUUUGAGUGUUGACACGCGAUCCCAGGUCCAGCGCUUUAAUCCACUGCACCCCUUUUUUUUUCCUGCGCGCGUGAAAGAGACCAAAUUUUUCUUCAUCUUCUUGUUCUCCUUCUUUUUGUAACUGAUCAUCUGAAAUAAUUGUUCUUGUUCGGAAGGGCAAGAGCCAAAGAUUCGAGUAAAAUGGAAAGAAAUGAUUUGUUGUUGUUUUACGUAUGGCUACUAUGAUGGAUGCGAGGGUGAGAAAAUUUUUCUGCCAGAGGCGUUUUGCCAGUGUUGCGUUGAGUGAGUGAGCGAAGAUUACCACGCGGAGGAUCAAAUGACGAGGACAUGUAAAUUCAACCGAGAGAAUCGAGUGGUAUUUGUACAUAUUAAUGAAAAAAGUAUACAAACAGUGGAAAAUAAAAAAUAAAAAUAAAGCGAACGGCAGUCGAGUGAUUGAACGAACAUCGAAUUAAAAAUUAAAAAAAAAAAAAAAAUGAUGUACAAUGAAAAUGGACUGUUGCAAUUAAUUUUCAUCAAUAACGAAGAAUUUCGAAAUAUCAAGGGAAAAAAAUAUUUUAUAAGUCCUUUUGUAAUUUUCAGAAACAAACAAAAAAACAAAAGCAAACGUAACGGUGUGCAUUUGUUGAGUAAACAAUGUCGGGGAGACUCUAUCUAUGUCUGGCGUAAUCGAGCGUCGUAAUAUACACCCCAGAAAUCCACCCCAUUCUCUUUGUCCCUCGGUCCAUUUUCAUUGUUUCGGUUAUCUUAUGAGCGAAGCAGAUACAGGCGAACACGACAACAAUACGCUGCCGUCGAUACGUAUUACGCAAAAGGUCUCGUCUCGCCCGUUUGACGUGAAAAUUCAGAUGCGUUUUAAAAAAAUACGAUAACAUUGAAAAUUAAAACAACAGAACGCCUGUGCCCCCCCCCACACACACACACCCACACACUCAAAGCGUGAAAGAAACAACGAGGAAAAGCAACAACCGUAACUUCAGCGUGCAACCAGCUUAGGAAGACCGUGUUUCAGUAGAGGACAAAAGAGAAAAAAAAAGAGAAAAAAAAUACACACCGGAAGAAUUGGCCGUUGAUUCGUUUUUUGCAAGAUUGUUGUUGGACGUGCUUUUUAUUAAGAAAUUGGUUUGUAAAAAAAAAAAUUUAUAUGUAUAUACAUACAUACAUAUUUAUAAAUAUAUCAAAUAUAGAAGAGAAUGAAGUGACGAGUGAUUGUUUACGUAUGAGUGUUGCGAGAGUGCGACGAUAAAGAGACGAUGUAGAGUGAAAAAAAAAAAAAAAAAAACAUAAAAUGCAUAUAAAAGGGUUUUCACGAAUGAAGUGAUGAAAUAAGUUGAUUUGUCGUUAAAAAUAUCGAUUUAAUAUUGCCUUUCUCUUGUUUUAUGGUGUUUUCACCCACGCCCGAAAGAACAGAAUUAAGAGAGGAGUUGUGGACAUAUAAAUAUAUUUUUCAAGGGGUGCGGUCGAUUAUUGAUGAAAAAAUUCGUUGUAACAGUUACCGUACAUCUUAUCUGAAAUUAAAAAAAAAAGACCUACUCAAUAUCUUGAUAAAUAUUUAUAAAAGCAUGAAAUCAAACUUUUUGAUACACGAUUUAGGAAAUACAUGCAGGAACAAUAAUUUUUCUCAUUUAAUCAAUCGUCCUCUUGAAACGCAAAAACAAAAGCAAAAAACAGAGGGAGAAAUCGGAAUUCCAGUUAUGGUUAUAGAUCAUCACAAGAGAUCAAAAACAACUUGUUAAAACAACAUUUUUUCGGAAAUUCGGUAUCCCUCCCAUAUUUUGAUUUGAUUUACCGUGCAGAGAUCGCACGACAACCAGAGCAAACGAGAACCGCGAAUUAUUAGGAUAACUAUUAAUUCACUAGAAAAAAAAAAAAAAAAAAAAAAAAAA